GGAAGAUAAUCUUACGGUAUUUUUUGUGAUAAUUUACACCCACUAGAACAAAGUAAAUAUUAUUGACUUAGUUAACAAAUGAAAAAUUCAUUCUGAUAUAAGGAAUAGAAUAAUUAUUUUCUGUUAAGAUUAUAACAAUGAAAUGGAAGUUGAAGGACCUGAAGACCACACAGUAUUUCUGGAGCAGCAUGCAGUUAGUAAAGAUGUCAAUGGUCAGGAGUCCACACCUGGAAUUGUUCCAGAUGCGGUUAAAAUCCACAAUGAAGAGCAACAGACAAGUAAUACACCAGAAAAUCUUGACACAGAUGGUCUUCUCAUUUCUGGUAAGCAAUAAUUCUUUCUCAAAUUUGAUCAGUUUUACAAAGUAAUGCCUUUCUGGUUAUGUAGAUUCAUGUCCUUGUCCAUUUAGUUAACUCUUCAUGUAAAUUUUCCAACAGAUACUUAAAACGUUUUGUUAACACUAUAUUACAC
rnacentral:lncRNA from 1 species